rnacentral:rRNA from 1 species
AAAAUGGGGGGGUAAGGAAAUUUUUUUUGGGAGGGGGAAAUUACCCCGGGGGGGGGAGAAAGGGGGGGGGCAUUUUCUGGGGGACCCGGGCCAUUUGGGCCGGUUGGGAGGGAGGCGAAAAACCCCAGGGGGGAGCCAAAACCGGGGAUUUAGGAUUAACCCCCCGGUUAGUUCCCUGGCCCCUUAAAACGGAUGAAAUCCCUUUGGGGUUAAACGGGGGUUUUUAAAUCCCCGUUUUUUGGGGGAAAAAGAAAAACCCCUUUAACCCCUUUCCCCCCCGGGGGGAUUUCCCGUUCCACAAGGUCUUAAAAUUUUAAAAGGGAAUUGGGGGGGGGGCCCCCCCAAAAGGGGGGGGGACCGGGGGGUCUCCAUUUGGCGGGGGGCCCGGGGGGGAUCUUUUUCCCGGGUUUGGGGGAGGGAAUUUUACCUUGGGGAGAAAAGGCCAGUUCCCAUCAGGGGAAAAUUUGGGGGGGGGCAAAGCCAAUUUUUUUGAGUAACUCCCAUGGCCGGAAAUAAUGGGGUUAAAUUCCCAUAAUGGGGUAAACACCCCUAUUCGAGGCCAACCCCUUUCGGUUUAUGCCCUCAGGUUAUGGGGGGCCUUCCGGGGGAAAAACCCGGAGAAAAGCCGGAGAAAGUUGCAAAUCACGCCAGGUCAUCAUGUCCUGGGGGUCUGGGCCUGCCCACAUGUGACAAUGGCAGAUCCAUCCCGUCGCGACCAAGCAAGAUGUAGUAGUCGAAGAUAGUUGUCUCAGCUCGGAUUGCAGGCUGCAACUCGCCUGCAUGAGGUGGGAUCGCUAGUAAUCGCGGAUCAGCACGCCGCGGUGAAUACGUUCCCGGGCCCUGUACACACCGCCCGUCACAUCACGAAAGCCGGCUGUACUAGAAGUCGCCGAGCCAACCCGCAAGGGAGGCAAGCGCCUAAGGUAUGGUCGGUGAUUGGGGUGAAGUCGUAACAGGGUAGCUGUAGGAGAACCUGUGGCUGGAUCACCUCUUUAAGUGUGGAUCCCGGG